ACGAACCGUGCGAACGUUGUUCGGAAUCAUUGGGCUUAAAGGGCGCGUAGGCGGGGUCGUCAGUCUGUGGUGAAAUCCUCUGGCUCAACCAGAGAACUGCCGUGGAUACUGCGACUCUCGAGGGGUGUAGGGGCAUGUGGAACUCAGGGUGGAGCGGUGAAAUGCGUAGAUAUCCUGAGGAACGCCGGUGGCGAAAGCGGCGUGCUGGACACCUUCUGACGCUGAGGCGCGAAAGCCAGGGGAGCAAACGG
rnacentral:rRNA from 1 species